rnacentral:rRNA from 1 species
UACGGAGGGUGCAAGCGUUAUCCGGAUUCACUGGGUUUAAAGGGUGCGUAGGUGGGUUGAUAAGUCAGUGGUGAAAUCCCCGAGCUUAACUUGGGAACUGCCAUUGAUACUAUUGAUCUUGAAUACCGUGGAGGUCAGCGGAAUAUGUCAUGUAGCGGUGAAAUGCUUAGAUAUGACAUAGAACACCAAUUGCGAAGGCAGCUCGCUGGGACGUUACUGACGCUGAGACGCGAAAGCGUGGGGAGCAAACAGG